UGUAAGAAAGGAUCUCUGCUUGAAGUUAGCCUGUUGUUUAAAAAUAUGGAGGAAGAUGGGAUUGCGCCAAAUGAUUAUACAUACAACACACUAAUUCGAGCUCAUCUCCGAGAUGGUGGUGACUUAACAAAAUCAGCAAAACUUAUAGAAGAAAUGAAGAGAUGUGGCUUCUCUGCAGAUGCUUCCACUGUGAAGAUGGACCAUCUCCGAGAUGGUGACUUAGCCAAAUCAGCUGAACUUAUAGAAGAAAUGAAGAGAUGUGGCUUCUCUGCAGAUGCUUCCACUGUGAAGAUGGUUAUGGAUAUGUUAUCGGAUGGUAGAAUGAAGAAAACCUUUUUGGAUAUGCUUUCUUAGAAUAUUUGGAUCUUAGUUGCUAGAGACAGAAGUCCCGGUUAGUGUUUCGAUGAUGUGUAUCUGGGCUUACUAGUUGAAACAAAGCUUGAUUGAUGCCCCUUCAGUUUGUAGUAAUGAAUGGCAUUAACAUGUACAAUCGUAGACCAGUCUCUACAAAGUCGUCUCCUUUUGUAUUAAUUUUCACUACCACGUCUAUUUACACAUACAAAGCCCACAAAAAUAAUAAACUAUGAUCCUUACCAGCUCCC